GCCGAAGUGGUGAAAUUGGUAGACGCAGUGGACUCAAAAUCCUCCGAGUAUUAUACUCGUGCCGGUUCGAUUCCGGCCUUCGGCACCA
rnacentral:tRNA from 1 species